rnacentral:rRNA from 1 species
UACGGAGGGUGCAAGCGUUAUCCGGAUUUACUGGGUUUAAAGGGUGUGUAGGCGGACUUUUAAGUCCGUGGUGAAAUCUCCGGGCUCAACCCGGAAACUGCCAUGGAUACUAUUUGUCUUGAAUAUUGUUGAGGUGGGCGGAACGGGUCAUGUAGCGGUGAAAUGCGUAGAUAUGACCCGGAACACCGAUUGCGAAGGCAGCCCACUAAGCAAUCUUAUUGACGCUGAGGCACGAAAGCGUGGGGAUCAAACAGG